ACCGGCAGGUCAAGUGGUGGCCAUUAUUAUCGGGCCUAAAGCGUUCGUAGCCGGUUUGAUAAGUCUCUGGUGAAAUCCCGCAGCUUAACUGUGGGACUUGCUGGAGAUACUAUCAGACUUGAGGUCGGGAGAGGUUAGGGGUACUCCCAGGGAAGUGGUGAAAUCCUAUAAUCCUAGGAGGACCACCUGUGGCGAAGGCGCCUAACUGGAACGAACCUGACAUUGAGUAACGAAAGCCAGGGGCGCGAACCG
rnacentral:rRNA from 1 species